rnacentral:rRNA from 1 species
UCUUUGGAUGAAAGCGGGGGAUCGCAAGACCUCGCGCUAUUGGGGUGGCCGAUGGCGGAUUAGCUAGUUGGUGGGGUAAAGGCUCACCAAGGCGACGAUCCGUAGCUGGUCUGAGAGGACGACCAGCCACACUGGGACUGAGACACGGCCCAGACUCCUACGGGAGGCAGCAGUGGGGAAUUUUGGACAAUGGGCGAAAGCCUGAUCCAGCAAUGCCGCGUGUGUGAAGAAGGCCUUCGGGUUGUAAAGCACUUUUGUCCGGAAAGAAAUCCUUUUCGAUAAUACCGAAGGGGGAUGACGGUACCGGAAGAAUAAGCACCGGCUAACUACGUGCCAGCAGCCGCGGUAAUACGUAGGGUGCGAGCGUUAAUCGGAAUUACUGGGCGUAAAGCGUGCGCAGGCGGUGAUGUAAGACCGAUGUGAAAUCCCCGGGCUUAACCUGGGAACUGCAUUGGUGACUGCAUCGCUGGAGUAUGGCAGAGGGGGGUAGAAUUCCACGUGUAGCAGUGAAAUGCGUAGAGAUGUGGAGGAAUACCGAUGGCGAAGGCAGCCCCCUGGGCCAAUACUGACGCUCAU